rnacentral:rRNA from 1 species
AUUGAACGCUGGCGGCAGGCCUAACACAUGCAAGUCGAACGGUAACAGGAAGCAGCUUGCUGCUUCGCUGACGAGUGGCGGACGGGUGAGUAAUGUCUGGGAAGCUGCCUGAUGGAGGGGGAUAACUACUGGAAACGGUAGCUAAUACCGCAUAAUGUCGCAAGACCAAAGAGGGGGACCUUCGGGCCUCUUGCCAUCGGAUGUGCCCAGAUGGGAUUAGCUUGUUGGUGGGGUAACGGCUCACCAAGGCGACGAUCCCUAGCUGGUCUGAGAGGAUGACCAGCCACACUGGAACUGAGACACGGUCCAGACUCCUACGGGAGGCAGCAGUGGGGAAUAUUGCACAGUGGGCGCAAGCCUGAUGCAGCCAUGCCGCGUGUAUGAAGAAGGCCUUCGGGUUGUAAAGUACUUUCAGCGGGGAGGAAGGGAGUAAAGUUAAUACCUUUGCUCAUUGACGUUACCCGCAGAAGAAGCACCGGCUAACUCCGU